CCCCCACACACCUGGCAGGCAGUACCAUGGGACAGCUUCCUCCCUCACCAGCAACCCACGGCUGGUAUAACCUUUUGGGAGGGGCCUUGUGAAUCUGGUAAAAAUUUCUCAGUUUUCUUAGCUUUGUAAGUUUUACUACCUUCUAGAAAGUCUCCUGCCUGUCUCCAGUGGGGACUGUUUCAAUAAGGAGGAAAUAACAACAGGAUAGGUGGAGAGGAUGCUGUGAUUGGACGAUGCCUGCAGUGUGCAUUAAACAUGCCAGCUCGGCUGUACCAAAAAAGGGUUUCUCAGUGUCAUCCUGGCUGUCCUGGAAAAUCCUUGAGGUUCUAUUGUGGAUAAUUGACUUUCUACUUGAGAAACCGACUAACUACAUCAACACAGGAACAUGUAUACAGAUAUUCAUAAUCACAACAGUUAAUGUGGAGACACAGCUCGGAUGUCUAUCAACUGAUGAGUCGAAUAAAAAGAGUUGAUGUUCAUAAAACAAUAUUAUUCAGCAAUGAAAAGGAGUGAGAUACCUAUGCAUGAUAUGGGAUACAAGAAACUCUGAAGCAUUGGGCUAGUCCAAGAAGACACACCUAAGGAAAAUGCAGAUGCUUCUAAAAAAUGGCCAAGACAGAAGGCACAGGAGUGGUUUCAUUGACCUAG